UACGGAGGGUGCAAGCGUUAAUCGGAAUUACUGGGCGUAAAGCGCACGUAGGUGGUUUACUAAGCCAGCUGUGAAAUCCCCGGGCUCAACCUGGGACACUGCAGUUGGAACUGGUAAGCUAGAGUAGGGUAGAGGGGUGUGGAAUUCCAGGUGUAGCGGUGAAAUGCGUAGAUAUCUGGAGGAACAUCAGUGGCGAAGGCGACACCCUGGACUCAUACUGACGCUGAGGCGCGAAAGCUAGGGGAGCAAACGGG
rnacentral:rRNA from 1 species